GAGUUUGAUCCUGGCUCAGGACGAACGCUGGCGGCGUGCCUAAUACAUGCAAGUCGAGCGGACAGAAGGGAGCUUGCUCCCGGAUGUUAGCGGCGGACGGGUGAGUAACACGUGGGUAACCUGCCUGUAAGACUGGGAUAACUCCGGGAAACCGGAGCUAAUACCGGAUAGUUCCUUGAACCGCAUGGUUCAAGGAUGAAAGACGGUUUCGGCUGUCACUUACAGAUGGACCCGCGGCGCAUUAGCUAGUUGGUGAGGUAACGGCUCACCAAGGCGACGAUGCGUAGCCGACCUGAGAGGGUGAUCGGCCACACUGGGACUGAGACACGGCCCAGACUCCUACGGGAGGCAGCAGUAGGGAAUCUUCCGCAAUGGACGAAAGUCUGACGGAGCAACGCCGCGUGAGUGAUGAAGGUUUUCGGAUCGUAAAGCUCUGUUGUUAGGGAAGAACAAGUGCAAGAGUAACUGCUUGCACCUUGACGGUACCUAACCAGAAAGCCACGGCUAACUACGUGCCAGCAGCCGCGGUAAUACGUAGGUGGCAAGCGUUGUCCGGAAUUAUUGGGCGUAAAGGGCUCGCAGGCGGUUUCUUAAGUCUGAUGUGAAAGCCCCCGGCUCAACCGGGGAGGGUCAUUGGAAACUGGGAAACUUGAGUGCAGAAGAGGAGAGUGGAAUUCCACGUGUAGCGGUGAAAUGCGUAGAGAUGUGGAGGAACACCAGUGGCGAAGGCGACUCUCUGGUCUGUAACUGACGCUGAGGAGCGAAAGCGUGGGGAGCGAACAGGAUUAGAUACCCUGGUAGUCCACGCCGUAAACGAUGAGUGCUAAGUGUUAGGGGGUUUCCGCCCCUUAGUGCUGCAGCUAACGCAUUAAGCACUCCGCCUGGGGAGUACGGUCGCAAGACUGAAACUCAAAGGAAUUGACGGGGGCCCGCACAAGCGGUGGAGCAUGUGGUUUAAUUCGAAGCAACGCGAAGAACCUUACCAGGUCUUGACAUCCUCUGACAACCCUAGAGAUAGGGCUUUCCCUUCGGGGACAGAGUGACAGGUGGUGCAUGGUUGUCGUCAGCUCGUGUCGUGAGAUGUUGGGUUAAGUCCCGCAACGAGCGCAACCCUUGAUCUUAGUUGCCAGCAUUCAGUUGGGCACUCUAAGGUGACUGCCGGUGACAAACCGGAGGAAGGUGGGGAUGACGUCAAAUCAUCAUGCCCCUUAUGACCUGGGCUACACACGUGCUACAAUGGACAGAACAAAGGGCUGCGAGACCGCAAGGUUUAGCCAAUCCCACAAAUCUGUUCUCAGUUCGGAU
rnacentral:rRNA from 1 species